GGCCCCUGCUUAUUCUUUCAAUUAUGUCC
rnacentral:piRNA from 1 species